AUGUACAAGCUACGCCCACAAUCGCAUGGCCACAGAUGAGAUAAAGUCUCGGAUAAAGUUGAAAAGAUUAGCUGAAAAAUUGUGUCAGAAAGAAGCUUGCGCCAUUCAAUACUGCCUGCAAGGUAGUAAUUACCAGGAGGAUAAGUGUACAAGGGAGAAACAGGCUCUCAUUGACUGCUGUAAUAAAUUGAGUCAAAAUAUUCUGGAACAUUCUACACACUGUGGCCUCUCAUCAAUAAAAAAGAAAUAAAAUACUAACAAUAGGAUAAUAAUGGACAAUAGUAACAGACAGAAUAAUAGCUUAAUGGAUUAUGUUAAAGCUAAUCGUUCAAAGAGUUUACAGUUUCUAUUAAGAAUCAUUACAUUAACUUGUGGACUAUUGUUUAUAUUAUCAGGAAUAAUUGUUUCACCAUAUACUGGUGUGUCCUCCUAUUAUUAUGCUUUCCUUUCUUCUUUGCUCACUUUUGGUAUUCAACUCAACAAGAGAAUGACAGAGAACCAGGCAAG